AUUGAACGCUGGCGGCAUGCCUUACACAUGCAAGUCGAACGGCAGCGGGCCCUUCGGGGUGCCGGCGAGUGGCGAACGGGUGAGUAAUGCAUCGGAACGUACCCGGGAGAGGGGGAUAACCGGCCGAAAGGCUGGCUAAUACCGCAUGAACUCGGAAGAGCAAAGCGGGGGACCUUCGGGCCUCGCGCUCUCGGAGCGGCCGAUGUCCGAUUAGGCUAGUUGGUGGGGUAAAGGCCCACCAAGGCGACGAUCGGUAGCGGGUCUGAGAGGACGAUCCGCCACACUGGGACUGAGACACGGCCCAGACUCCUACGGGAGGCAGCAGUGGGGAAUCUUGGACAAUGGACGCAAGCCUGAUCCAGCAAUGCCGCGUGGGUGAAGAAGGCCUUCGGGUUGUAAAGCCCUUUCGGCGGGGAAGAAAUCGGUCAGGCGAAUAGUCUGGCCGGAUGACGGUACCCGCAGAAGAAGCACCGGCUAACUACGUG
rnacentral:rRNA from 1 species